AGUCGAACGGCAGCGGGGAGCAAUCUCCGCGAGAGUGGCGAACGGGUGAGUAACACGUGGGUGACCUGGCCCAGUCUUGGGGAUAGCCUGUGGAAACAUGGGGUAAUACCGAAUAGAUCCGGAGGGGUAAAGACCUUUGGGGAAAGGCGCGGACGCGCCGGACGGGGAUGGGCCCGCGGCCCAUUAGUUAGUUGGCGGGGUAAAGGCCCACCAAGGCGACGAUGGGUAGCCGGCCUGAGAGGGUGGACGGCCACACUGGGACUGAGAGACGGCCCAGACUCCUACGGGAGGCAGCAGCUAAGAAUCUUCCGCAAUGGCCGAAAGGCCGACGGGGCGACGCCGCGUGGACGAAGAAGGCCGCAAGGUUGUAAAGUCCUUUUUUCCGUGAAGAAUAAGUGGGGGAGGAAAUGCCCCUGUGAUGACGUUAGCGGAGGAAUAAGCCCCGGCUAAUUACGUGCCAGCAGCCGCGGUAAUACGUAAGGGGCGAGCGUUGUUCGGAAUUAUUGGGUGUAAAGGGCGCGUAGGCGGCUCCGUAAGUCCGGUGUCAAAGGUGGCGGCCCAACCGCCGCAGUGCGCUGGAAACCGCGGAGCUUACGAGUUUAGGAGGGGGAGCUGGAAUUCCAGGUGUAGGGGUGAAAUCUGUAGAUAUCUGGAAGAACACCGGUGGCGAAGGCGGGCUCCUGGCCAUAGACUGACGCUGAGGCGCGAAAGCGUGGGGAGCGAACAGGAUUAGAUACCCUGGUAGUCCACGCCGUAAACGAUGUACACUAGGCGUGCGCGCAGGAGCGUGCGUGCCGAAGCGAACGCGAUAAGUGUACCACCUGGGGAGUAUGCCGGCAACGGUGAAACUCAAAGGAAUUGACGGGGGCCCGCACAAGCGGUGGAGUAUGUGGUUUAAUUCGAUGAUACGCGAGAAACCUUACCAGGGUUUGACAUCGCGGGCGAGUCAUGGGAGACCAUGGCGCCCUGCAAAGGGGCCCGCGACAGGUGCUGCAUGGCUGUCGUCAGCUCGUGCCGUGAGGUGUUGGGUUAAGUCCCGCAACGAGCGCAACCCCCGUUUCCAGUUGCUACCGGGUAAAGCCGGGCACUCUGGAGAGACUGCCGGUGACAAACCGGAGGAAGGCGGGGAUGACGUCAAGUCAUCAUGGCCCUUAUGUCCUGGGCCACACACGUACUACAAUGGCCGGUACAAAGCGAAGCGAAACCGCGAGGUGGAGCGAACCGCAGAAAGCCGGUCUCAGUUCGGAUUGGAGUCUGAAACCCGACUCCAUGAAGGUGGAAUCGCUAGUAAUCGCGCAUCAGCAUGGCGCGGUGAAUACGUUCCCGGGCCUUGUACACACCGCCCGUCACACCACCCGAGUUGGGUGAACCCGAAGUCGGCAGUCCAACCGUCAGGAGGACGCCGCCGAAG
rnacentral:rRNA from 1 species